rnacentral:lncRNA from 1 species
GGUAAUUAGCCAUUCCAUUUAUGUGUAUUAUCCAUUUGAUAACAACUUUGUUAUAAUUCUGAAGAGAUAUAUAGCAUUCAUUAUCAAGACCACUAACCAUUUGCAUGUGACUGAUUUAAAUCGAUAUAUUGAAUUAUUAUUGCGCAUUAUUAAUCAAAUUUUAGUGUACUAAAACAAGAACAUCUAAUUGGAAUGCUCACAAUUCCUUUAUUUUUUUCUCUUUGCUCCUUUUGUGGUGAAUUUAGUUUGCAGGUACCAUAGAAUCAAGGCAUGAGCCAGGAGAUCACCAUUGGAGAAAUUUGAUGAAGGAUAAAAUGGAUGAUUGUACUGAAACUUUAAAGGUUGAAGAUGGAAAGCUUUUUAUUGAGCCUCGGCCACAAGCCACAUUUCAUGGUGAUGUCCAAACGAAAAUUCUUUCCAAAGACUUAGAACAACGACCAAGUGUCUCAUUUCGUCCAGAUGACACCAGAACAAAGCUUUUUGUCGAACAUAUAGAACUAUCACCGAGUAUCAAAUUUUAUCCUCAUGAAAUCAAAGCAAAGUUAGAUAAAGAUACAGAUGUUCCACCAAGAACCUUAAUUUAUCUCAAUGAUAUCAAAUCCAAUUUUUUUGUCAAAGAUAUAGAACGACAACUAAGAGCAAGAUUUUAUCGUGAUGAUAACAAAAGAAAGUUGGCCAAGGAUAUAGAACCACGACCAAAUGUUUCAUUUUAUCCAGAUGACACCAAAACAAAGCUCUUCGCUGAAGAUUUAGAACCACGACCAAAUGUCUCAUUUUAUCCCGAUGACGAAACCAAAACAAAGCUCUUCGCUGAAGAUGUAGAACCACGACCAAAUCUCUCAUUUUAUCCCGAUGACGAAACCAAAACAAAACUUUUUGCUGAAGAUGUAGAACCACGGCCAAAUGUCUCAUUUUAUCCCGAUGAUGACACUAAAACAAAGCUUUUUGUUGAAGAUGUAGAACCACGACCAAAUGUUUCAUUCUAUCCUGAUGACGAAACCAAAACAAAACUUUUUGCUGAAGAUGUAGAACCACGACCAAAUUCCUUCUUUUAUCCUGAUGAUGACAUUAAAACAAAGCUUUUGGUUCAAGAAAUAGAGCCUCGACCAAAUGUUUCAUUUUAUCCAGACGAUGACACCAAAACAAAGCUUCUUGCUGAAGAUAUUGAACCACGACCAAAUGUCUCAUUUUAUCCCGACAAUCUAAAAGCCAAAGAGCAGCUCUCGGCUCAUUCUCACCAUGGGGAAGCUGGUUUGCAGGUGGCACAAGCUUAAGUUUAUUCAAUAUGAAAAACAGCCCAAGUAAAGAAUGAGAAGCAA